rnacentral:rRNA from 1 species
AUUGAACGCUGGCGGCAGGCCUAACACAUGCAAGUCGAGCGGAUGAAGGGAGCUUGCUCCUGGAUUCAGCGGCGGACGGGUGAGUAAUGCCUAGGAAUCUGCCUGGUAGUGGGGGAUAACGUCCGGAAACGGGCGCUAAUACCGCAUACGUCCUGAGGGAGAAAGUGGGGGAUCUUCGGACCUCACGCUAUCAGAUGAGCCUAGGUCGGAUUAGCUAGUUGGUGGGGUAAAGGCCUACCAAGGCGACGAUCCGUAACUGGUCUGAGAGGAUGAUCAGUCACACUGGAACUGAGACACGGUCCAGACUCCUACGGGAGGCAGCAGUGGGGAAUAUUGGACAAUGGGCGAAAGCCUGAUCCAGCCAUGCCGCGUGUGUGAAGAAGGUCUUCGGAUUGUAAAGCACUUUAAGUUGGGAGGAAGGGCAGUAAGUUAAUACCUUGCUGUUUUGACGUUACCAACAGAAUAAGCACCGGCUAACUUCGUGCCAGCAGCCGCGGUAAUACGAAGGGUGCAAGCGUUAAUCGGAAUUACUGGGCGUAAAGCGCGCGUAGGUGGUUCAGCAAGUUGGAUGUGAAAUCCCCGGGCUCAACCUGGGAACUGCAUCCAAAACUACUGAGCUAGAGUACGGUAGAGGGUGGUGGAAUUUCCUGUGUAGCGGUGAAAUGCGUAGAUAUAGGAAGGAACACCAGUGGCGAAGGCGACCACCUGGACUGAUACUGACACUGAGGUGCGAAAGCGUGGGGAGCAAACAGGAUUAGAUACCCUGGUAGUCCACGCCGUAAACGAUGUCGACUAGCCGUUGGGAUCCUUGAGAUCUUAGUGGCGCAGCUAACGCGAUAAGUCGACCGCCUGGGGAGUACGGCCGC